rnacentral:rRNA from 1 species
UACGUAGGGACCGAGCGUUGUCCGGAAUCAUUGGGCGUAAAGAGCGUGUAGGCGGCUUGUUAAGUCUUGCGUGAAAUCUCGGGGCUCAACCCCGAGCGGUCGUGAGAAACUGGCAGGCUAGAGUGCGGGAGAGGAGAGUGGAAUUCCUGGUGUAGCGGUGGAAUGCGCAGAUAUCAGGAGGAACACCAAUAGCGAAGGCAGCUCGCUGGGACGGUACUGACGCUAAGGCGCGAAAGCGUGGGGAGCGAACAGG